UGCCUCUACUCUAGGCCUUUCGAUUUGCGCGGGCGGGCGUGCCUGCCGGGAGGAGGGAGGGAGGGAGCUCUCGCGGCAGCCGACGAUGGAGGAACUGGAGCAGGGCCUGUUGAUGCAGCCAUGGGCAUGGCUACAGCUUGCCGAGAACUCCCUCUUGGCCAAGGCUUUUAUCACCAAGCAGGGAUAUGCCUUGCUGGUUUCGGAUCUUCAACAGGUGUGGCAUGAACAGGUGGACACUAGUGUGGUCAGCCAGCGAGCCAAGGAGCUGAACAAGCGGCUGACUGCUCCCCCUGCAGCUUUUCUCUGUCAUUUGGAUAAUCUGCUUCGCCCAUUGUUGAAGGACACUGCUCACCCUAGUGAAGCUACCUUCUCCUGUGAAUGUGGGGCAGAGGAACUGAUUUUACGGGUGCGGAGUGAGCUGUCUGGUCUCCCCUUCUAUUGGAAUUUCCACUGCAUCCUAGCUAGUCCUUCCCUGGUCUCCCAACAUUUGAUUCGUCCUCUGAUGGGCAUGAGUCUGGCAUUGCAGUGCCAAGUGAGGGAGCUAGCAACAUUGCUUCGUAUGAAAGAUCUAGAGAUCCAGGACUACCAGGAGAGUGGGGCUACACUGAGCCGAGAUCGAUUGAAGACGGAGCCAUUUGAAGAAAAUUCCUUCUUGGAACAAUUUAUGGUAGAGAAACUACCAGCGGCAUGCAGCAUUGGUGAUGGAAGGCCCUUUGUCCUGAAUCUGCAGAGUCUCUAUGUGGCAGUCACCAAACAAGAGGUCCAAGUGGGACAGAAGCAUCAAGACACUGGAGAUCCUCAGACCUCAAGCAGUACCUUCCUUCAAGGAACUGAUAGCCAGUUGCUGAACCAGCCAGAACAACCGGUCUCCUCAGCACCAGCCCUCUCAGCGCCACAGAAAGAGCCCACAGGUACUUCAGGCCCUAUUCAGAGACCUCAGCUGUCAAAGCUCAAGAGGAAGAAGCCAAGGGGUCUCUUCAGUUAACCUGGUGUUGUCUCAGCUGCUGAGGACGGCCUUGGAGAAUAAUAGCUUCUAAGCUUCUCCUUCAAAGGAGCUCACAUGACAGAAACAUCUCUAAAACAGGGUUAUACAGUCAGAAUCCACUAUAAGGGCAAGAGAACUGAAGUUCAUGUUGACAGGCUGCCUGAAUGAGGACUGUUAACCAAGGGAAGCUUGGCUCCAACCCGCUGGGCAUUGGCCUUCCCUAUUCAAGUGGAAGCCAGUCUCUGAGAAUCUCAUGCCCUCCUCUCUUUUGGUGGAGGUUCUCUAGACCCAGGACCCUGUCAUGGAAUUUAGGCAGGUCAGCAAAAAGGCACGACAUGCUCAGGAAGCUGUGGCUAUCUUUCUUAAGAGUCUCUAGCCAGUCCCAGAUGCUCCUCAGAGACCCACUUCUCUCUUUAGUGUGGAAUAAAAAGCACUCACACUCCCCUGCUUUUGAGAUCACUUAUUCUGUGAAACUCAUAACCCACCUCACUUCACUGGGCUUCACCUCAUUGUUAUCUCUGGAUGAGUCUGUGCCCUCAGUCCAGGACUUCAGAUUAUUCUUCUUUGCUAAAGCCUAAGCUAAGCCUCCAUUCAGAAACUUUGGUCUCAAGAACUCUCUUCAUGGUGGGCACCAGACAGACAAAUGACUGCUGCUCUCCUAUGCCAAAGUUGGAUAUGUUUUUCUCUUUGUUUCCAAGGCGUAGACAACAGGUUAAACCACAGUGUGGGAUGAAAUUACAAAGAACUUCAAGCACUAGGGCUGAAGUAGGUUCCCACUGGAGUGGAAGAAAAAGGAAUUUUUACUUUCUUGUUCUCCACUUCACUUCAAAUAACAUGUAACUAGAAGAACUAGGAAAGAUAGGAAAAGAUGACAGGAACAGGAAAUGACCAUAGGAGUUCCCAGGGACAACAGAAUGGGCCUCUAGAACUAAUAGUGCCUAGUAGGAAAAAAUGUACAGGCUGCAAGAGAUAGACAGGGUCUUAGGAGAGUCAACUCUUCAGCACCCCAGGAUUAGCAGAAUCCCUUGACCUUCUCUGCUGGGUUUUCCUCUGUAGGUAAGACCAUCUGAAACUUUACCCUGGAGAGACAGGAACAAAAGUAGAACUCGUUCAAAAGAACUGUUAGGUAGAGGAAGGGGUAGGAGCAUAAUACAGAGGCCCUCUCUGGUUUAUUUAUUUUGAUGGUCAAAUACCUCCGCAUUCAUAUGUCCUCUCUAGCUGGGAUUGGUGUUUCUGUCCUGAUGUCAAGUCAUGGGGAGAGGAUGAUCAAACAAUAAUAAAAUAAUUAUUAUAAUAUGAACAAUAAUAAUAAACAACUAAUAUACACCUAACAUUGAAUCCUCACUACCUCAUAUCAGGAAGACACUGCUAACCCACUAGGAAAUGGAGUCUUGAAGUGAUUAAGUGACAUAUUAAAGGUAAUAAGGGAAAGCCAGAAUUUGAACCCAGAUAGCAUUAUUAUAUACAUUAAUGAAAGCAUUUCCCAAAAGGAUAUCAGGUCUUUCUUUCCAGUCUUCUACUGGAACCACCAUUAUCCUAUGUUACUGCCUCCUUUUACUAGGAUGCUGUACUCCCUGUGGGCUCUUCAAGGCAGGUGCCCUUGAAGACUCCAGGACUUACUCCCAGGCCUUUUCCUGGUAGUAGAGUCUAAAAGCUCCACCAGCUCAUUCCCAGUUACUGUUGAUAACUUUUCCUUACCACUAGACCACAGUCCCCCGGGGUGUGCCCUGUGGCCCUGAUGGUCAUCAAAGUGAAUUGGGAACUGUGUAAAAACAGUGUGUCAGCUGGCUCAGUUUCUGCUUUAGUUUCUUUUCAGCACAAUUUAAAUAGCCAGAUUUCAGUGUCUAUGGGAUGUAAGACCAUAUAGAAAAUGGAAAGGCCUCCCCAGCAAGCUUGGAGAGAAUAUGGGUUCUUCACCCUGGAUACUCCCUGUGCUCUCAGAACACAGUCUCAAGAGCAGGCAUUUUUAAUCAUAGGGGACCCAGAGGCCUGUGAGUCCCCAAAAAUUGUAGGUAAAAUCCUAAACGCAUAACUUUGUUCAUGUUCUCAAAAGAAUGUGUGACUUUUUAAAAAGGUUAGAGUACGCCUAGGUACCUUCCCUCCACUGCCUCCUUUAUUCCCAAGGGUCGCUGCCUCCACCAGGGUAUUGCUUAAAUAGGUUGUCAGAGAAACAUUGCUGCCAGAGGCCCUGACUCAGGCAUUCUUGCCCUGAAGCCCUUACCCCUCAAAGCUAGGGGUGGUGGUUGAGAAUCAUUCAUCCCAAGGCAACUCCAGGGAAAUCCCUGCUUUGACAAAUUGGCCUAGCCAGGCUGUAUUCCAGCCCUGCCCCCUGGUUUGGGCCCCUCCCUGAGGCCCCCAGCCUGGCCCAACCCCCACUCCAAUGCACAUAAAAGGGUCGAAUUCUCGUGGCUGCUCCAUAAAUUUUAUUCCGUAAAUAUUAGUUUUCCCUGUGUUUAAUAAAGCAGUGGCCCACCUCCCCGCCUACCCGCCCGCUCCCCGGGGCCGGGGCUGGGGCCAGGGGCUGGCUGGUGGGAGAAGGGACUCUUUCAAUUGCUUUGGAGUAUUUUUAGAAAAAAAAAUAAUAUAAGGUGGUUUACACGAGCAAGCCAGCAAACCAGGAGCAGGACUUGGGACCUCGAGGAAGUUCCUGCAGGAAUUUGACCUAAAAAGUAGAGAAAUAGCGCCACCUAGGUUGCAAGGCCUACUUGGCCUUGCUGGCUGGUCCCCCCACAGUCAGCUAGGACAGUCAUUCUUUGCUGGGAGAGAAAGUCUCAUCCCUUUGCACUUUACCAGAGUAGCACCUCCUUUUCUCAUGCCUCACUGAGGGCUUUCCCAGCAACACUUAAAUGCAGAGCUCAAGCUGCGUCCUAGAAAAUCCCACCAGGGUCAUUCUCUUCUCCUGUCACCAGGCAGCCAGUCUCCCAGAUCAAGGAGUGUUUCCAAAGGAUAGUACAGUCAUCGAGAAGGGAGGAAGAAACUCUCUAGUCUCCAUCUUCCCCUGAGUUCCCAGGAGCUAGCCCUGGAAUUCCUGGUGUAUUCGGAGGCCAAGAGUGAGACCUGUGGUCUUGCGCUCUGGGCUGGGAAAGCGUCCCCUGGCUCCUACUAGGAUCCUGGGCCGUGAGCCUCCAGUCAGCAAUGAGGGGAGGGGAGAUGCUUGCAUCUCCUGAGUACUCAGCCCUACUGCUACUCGUUUUUAUCCUGUGGUACGUUUGGACUCCCUUUUCUUUCCUUCCUGUUCACUUAAACCUCCCAUUUCCCAAGCCUUUACUACCUGCUCCUUAGACCAGGUUUGGUGGGAGAUAAGCAGGAGCCCCUGUCUCCCCUCUGCACAGAGACGGCGGGAGGAGUGGGGAAUGGAAAAGGCUGUGCCUCUCCUCCUGGUUCUGGGUUUGGUCUCAUUCCUCACAUUGUCACCAGAGACACUUCUCUCCACUUACUCUGUUCCUCAUUUUCUCCUACUUGCAAAACUAGGAAGAUUUGCUUCAGAGAAUAUAGGGGCAACCUAAAUGCUCUCGAUGACCCUUCCUUGUCAUAUGCAAUAAAUUUGCUCUCUUCAAAAUAGAGCCGGCUUAGAAGGCAGAAGAAGAAAUAUAAAGGGGAGAGAAGAAAGUGAUUUUUAUCAAUAGACCCUGGACUUGGAUUUGAAGAGCCCUGGUGAGGCUUUGUCACUGCAACUUGCUCCUAAUGAUGGGGUCAAGAGAUGGCCCAGGCCAUUGAGGCCUCCAGAAUGGCACACAGCCACUCUCGAGUUUUACUGCUGGCAGAGCCUGUCAAUGACCAGAAAAAGAGCCAGGCUUUGUUUAAUAGGUCUGUUUAAUAGGACUGGCCCAAUUCAAAAGUCACUCUAUAUCUACUGAACAGCUAAGAACAAAGGCAGCCAAGAAAUGACCAAGGCACUUAGGCCCUGCUUGGAUUCAAAGUCUCCAGGUCACUGCUGUAGAAACCAUGGUGCUUCUAAUCUCCACCCUCUUCUGCCCCUUCCUCCACUGAAGAUUGGACUGAUGCCAAUGUAAGUUUGAGAUUCAGAUCUCGAAGCACCAUUGUGUCCUGAGAAAAGAGUAUAUAGUUUUGGAGUAGAGAAGCUCUGGAUUCAAAUUUUAGCUGUGGAACUGGCUGUGGGACCGCAGGCAACUUACUUUACUUUUGGAGCUUGGAGUUGUAGAUUUGUACAAUGAGAAUAAUGAUUGCAGUGCACAGAGGGUUAUUGUGGAGAUUUUAAUUACUGUGUAAAGCAUCUGGCACAGAGAAAAGGCUUGAUAGAUGCUACUCUCCAUCUGCCUCUUCCAGUACACACUGCUCCAAAGUUAUCCUGGCAGCGGAGGGUCUAGUCUUGAUGAAGCCCAAUGUCAGCCAAGGAGGCAGCCGUGCAGAGGCACACCUGAUGCCAAGCUAGAGCGGCACUUGCAGCACAUGCACUGCCUGUCUCAUGGCCGUCAGGUCUUUACCACAUUUGUAUCCAAUAGGAAAAGAGUCACAGUUCAGAGAGGAGCAAUGAGAGGAUGAAUGGCAAAACUAAUAAAAUGGUUAUAAAUUAAAACCUCUGAGAGAACUUGUCUUUCACUUGGAGAAAAGAAAAUUCAAAGUGAAUUUAACAACUCUUCAAGACCAUACCCAUGGUUUAAUAAGCAGAAUAAUAGCCCUAAUCACUAAGGCCAGAAAAUGAGGAAAGUGGUUGAAUUUACAUUAGAGAGAGAGGGAGAAAGAUUGAACUUAAGACAAAACUUCUCUAGAAGAUAAUUAUUAAACACUGGGAAGGGUGACCUCGGAAGUCUAUAGGAUUUUCUUUUUUGGAGCUCUGUAAUAACAGAGAGCCCUGUUUGUCUGGUCUGGAAAAGGUAUUGACCCUGCCCCAGAAAUCUGAGGUAGGGGGAACAGCAGGGAAAGAGGAUGGAGAAUAUUGCAGGGAUAGUUCUUGAGCCCUGGAAAGUACACGUUAAAGCACUUGGAAAGCUUUCAAGAAAAAGAAGCAACAUUAAUCUAUGACUAAGAAACAAGAGUCUCAAUGCUAAUGUAAGAAAGAACAUGGGGGGUGGGGAGGAAGUGCAGGCAAAGGGGAGAAAAGGAGGAAAUCCCUGUGUUUCCAAGUCACAGGUGCCACUCCACUCCUGGUGGACCCAUCCUAAAUUUCCUUCUGUGGACCUCAGUUUCCUUUUCUGUACUAUCAAGUGCUUGGAUUAAACACUCUCUUUGAGUCCCUUCCAAUCCUGAAUUUAUAUUCACAAAACUGAUCCAGAGAGUGUAAGUAAAUCUGUGAAAAGCUCCCCCAGCCCCAGACACAAGUUGUGCUGAUGGGUGAGUCCUGCACAGAGAGACGGGCUGAUGCAUCAGCACUGGUGAAGCCUGAGGCUGGGUCAGCCCCAUGGCCUUCAAUCACUGCUUCUUGGCCAUGGCCAAGUUGCUUAUCUUCUCUGAACUUCAGUAUUUUCAUUUGUAAAAUGUGGGUAAUAAUAGCU